GGUCCAAUGGUCUAGUGGUAUGAUUGUCGCUUCGGGUGAACUGGGUUUCUAAUCCAAGGCCCCGCGUUCGAAUCGCGGUUGGACCC
rnacentral:tRNA from 1 species